AUGAUGAGUCCUGUCCACUCCAUAUUUAUAUUGUUGCUUUGGAUUGUGGGAAUCAGUGGUGACGUUGUGAUGACCCAGACUCCACUCACUUUAUCAGCUACCAUUGGACAAUCAGCCUCCGUCUCUUGCAGGUCAAGUCAGAGUCUCUUACAUAGUAAUGGAAACACAUACUUGAAUUGGUUUGUACAAAGGCCAGGCCCAUCUCCACAGCUUCUAAUUUAUGGGGUGUUUGAACAGGAAUCUGGGGUUCCUGACAGGUUCAGUGGCAGUGGGUCUGGAACAGAUUUCACACUCAAGAUCAGCAGAGUGGAGGCUGAGGAUUUGGGAGUUUAUUACUGCAUGCAAGCUACCUAUGAACCUCC